AACGAUAGGUCUCCUUCUUCCUCAUUCUUAAAACUUGCUUCCAACAAAAACACCCUUCAAAUAUUAUAAGACCAAAAAAAAAUUCUAACAUCUACCUCAUUCGAAACUGGGAUGACCAUUUCCGAACCACAAACCAUCCCUACCCAUGAGUUUUAAUGGAGACACAGACCUUAGAUACAUCACUAAGCUUCGGGAACGACACAAAAAUGUCACAGAUCUAAAACACAUCCCAAACCGACAUCAAUAGUCAUCUAGUUUAAAACAAACACAAAAACAGAUGCAAAAAUCUCUCAAAGAGUGGAAAGGAGCAAACCCUAAAGUGAAGGCGAAUGGGUUUCGUGGAAACUUUGGAAAUCCGGCGCAAUUCUGGCGAUGGUGAUGGCUUCAGGGGCUUAGCUCGAGCUUGUUGAGCCUCGAUGUGAGAAUCUCAACAAGUUCAAAACGGAGCUUUUUUUUAAUGAGGGUUUUGGAGUGAUUUUUCCAGAGUAACGGUGCAGAAAUUCGGAUCCCUCUUCAGUGGAUUUCACUCCCUUCUUAUAGAGAGGUGGUACGAGGUUCAUACGUCCUUAUCCUUCAUGAGCUGGCAAAUCUAUUCAGAAUCAUUCUGUUAGAGAGGAAUUUUUGGGCUGGAUUUGGUGGGGACCAAGGUAUGUGAGUCAUUUUCCUGUUUUGUCUGUAGUGAAAUCCUUCCAAAAACGUGUGGCCUUUUGUUGAACUUUUCACUGCCUCUUUACUGCUGUAAAACACAUGCUUGUCAAAUUAUUUACUCUUCUGUAAAAUGGAAUUUUUAACUGAUGCUUGACCUUUAAUCAUUUCUUACAUACAACGGCUUUCUAAUGUCAGUCCCAUUUGGUUAUGGAUGGUGACAGGACCGUUAAUUUGAGCUGGUACGCAUUCAUCUUGAGAUAAUACGUAGCGGAUGUCGGUUUUGUUGCUAUCACAGUGUGCUGUCACCAAUUCUCGUAUUGAUGUGAAUUGUUCUUCAGGUUGGUAAUUCGGAUGGAAG